rnacentral:rRNA from 1 species
GACAGAGGGGGCAAGCGUUGCUCGGAAUUACUGGGCGUAAAGGGCGCGUAGGCGGGAUGGCAAGUCGGUCGUGAAAUCCCCGGGCUCAACCUGGGAACUGCAUUUGUGACUGCAUGGCUAGAGUACGGUAGAGGGGGAUGGAAUUCCGCGUGUAGCAGUGAAAUGCGUAGAUAUCGGAAGGAACACCAGUGGCGAAAGCGGCUUCCUGGACCAGUACCGACGUUCAGGCACGAAAGCGUGGGGAGCAAACAGG